rnacentral:rRNA from 1 species
GACGAACGCUGGCGGCGUGCUUAACACAUGCCAGUCGAACGGAAAGGCCUGCUUUUGUGGGGUGCUCGAGUGGCGAACGGGUGAGUAACACGUGAGUAACCUGCCCUUGACUUUGGGAUAACUUCAGGAAACUGGGGCUAAUACCGGAUAGGAGCUCCUGCUGCAUGGUGGGGGUUGGAAAGUUUCGGCGGUUGGGGAUGGACUCGCGGCUUAUCAGCUUGUUGGUGGGGUAGUGGCUUACCAAGGCUUUGACGGGUAGCCGGCCUGAGAGGGUGACCGGCCACAUUGGGACUGAGAUACGGCCCAGACUCCUACGGGAGGCAGCAGUGGGGAAUAUUGCACAAUGGGCGGAAGCCUGAUGCAGCAACGCCGCGUGCGGGAUGACGGCCUUCGGGUUGUAAACCGCUUUCGCCUGUGACGAAGCGUGAGUGACGGUAAUGGGUAAAGAAGCACCGGCUAACUACGUG